rnacentral:rRNA from 1 species
UACGUAGGGUGCAAGCGUUAAUCGGAAUUACUGGGCGUAAAGCGUGCGCAGGCGGUUAUGCAAGACAGAGGUGAAAUCCCCAGGCUCAACCUGGGAACUGCAUUUGUGACUGCAUGGCUGGAGUGCGGCAGAGGGGGAUGGAAUUCCGCGUGUAGCAGUGAAAUGCGUAGAUAUGCGGAGGAACACCGAUGGCGAAGGCAAUCCCCUGGGCCUGCACUGACGCUCAUGCACGAAAGCGUGGGGAGCAAACAGG